rnacentral:lncRNA from 1 species
GCAGGGAUUCUAAAAAGGAUUAAGUUUUAAAAAUUAUGGCACAAUACGUUCACGCAAAUAGAUAAGUCAAUGUGUAUGCAGAUGUGUGCAUCUAUGGGCCACUCCUCCCAAUCGUCAUGGAAUAUGCAAGUAUACAUCAUUAAGAAUGGGUUGACAAGGAUCGCUAUCGGGAAAGGCAUAAUAAUCUCGCAAUCAAGAAAAGGUGCUCACAAAAAAAAAAUAAGGUACGGUGUUCGGAUAGCAGAUAAAUAAUUUAACCAAGGACACACAUUGGUUGAGUGAACACCAACUUCGGCAAACCCCAGAACCAGUCUGAUGAUAUAAUACUGCUCUUUUUAUAUAUAAUUGCCAGAUAGGAGUACUAUUCUUGCAGAACGGUGAGCAUUCAUAAUUGAAACCCUGACAUCAGCAGACAGCACAAUCUCUAUUGAUGUGAUCUAACUUUAGGUUAUAUUAUUUUUAAGUGUAGCUAACUUUUUGUUCACAUGAAUUGGUAGGAGAACUAAAUAAAAGAAUAGACGGUGAACACUCCCUCCUUCUGAAUGUUAAAAGAAUGAAAGGUGGAAUGGUUGUAUUGAUAGAGGGAGUCUGUACUUAUUUAUACUCUGCCAACAGACAGGAAGUGGCCCCUUCAAGAUGACUGUUCAUGAAGGGGCACCCCUUGGGGUGGCAGUUCCCCACUUGGUAGUUAUCCACUAAUUAACUAAUUAAUUCAAUAACUAUAAUAAUUGGUCAGUAAUUAUGUGUUUCACAACACUCCCAUCAAUUGUUUCUUGUAAGCUUCAUGUAAUCCUGGUUCAAUCAUCUUUGAUUAUCAUAUGAGAAAAACUCCUCCAAAAAUCCUAUGGGAAAAAUAUUAAGGAGAAACCAACUUGUAUGUCCAUAUGCCAUUAAAACUCCUUUAAAACCCAGUGGAAAAAUAUAAGGAGAAAAUGAUAUGGCAUAUUUUAGAUUAUUGUCUCAUUGCAAACUCAUAUGAGAAAAAUCUUGAAAAGGAAAUACUCAUAAGUGAGUUUGGAGAUCAAUAAUAUUAUGAUCUAAGGAUCAUAUUCGAAUCACCUUCCCCAAAACCCAAUGGAAAAAUAUGAGAAGGAAUUGUAUAUCUUAUAUAUCUCCUUAAAAACUCUUGUAGAGAAAACAGAAGAUAUGACAUAAUAUGUCUUGAAUACCACCUUUAAAAACCACGGUGGGAAAAAUAGGUGAUAUGACAUAUAUUCUUGUAUUGAUAAUGCCUCAUUAAAACCUUUUAUGAGAAACCUUUGUGAGGAAAAACUCAUAUAGGAAAAAGAGUACAAUAUGAUGAUAGGUUAGGGAGUCUCCCCCUGAGCCUUGAAAAAUUUAAGUUUUCAUUCACCACUUACCAUGAACACCAUUCUAUGAUGUAGUGGUGGAUAAGUGCAUUAGUGAUUAUAUUUUGCAAGUUGUUUAUUCCCUUACUUUGUAAAAAUGAGGAUAAAACAUUUUGAGCAAUAUGAUAUUGCUGAUAUGUAACCUUGUUUCAUCCAAGCAAUACAAGUUGCAUUAUCAUUUAUGGAUAAUGUUAGUGAUUAUAUGGAAUCACAUUUUAUCAUUCAUUGGAGUCACACAUAUACAUGUGAUGCUUCAGAAUGAUAGAUAAAAGUUACCAUUAGAGUCUAUUUUGAUGACUCGCGUGAAAACUUUAUUAUCAAUAUCAGUCUAUGAUCGGGCAAUAUGGGGAUUAGUAAGCCAGUAUCAUGAUAUCCCACUUUGUCAUGUCUUGAAAUUAAUCGAGAUCUUUUAGUACCAUUUAAAUAUCUAUAGAUAUCUGUUUUUGGACUCCCACCAAUAUGGUAUUUUUAGAGUUGCACUAAUUUGCACAAUAGCAAUGUAUUUACAAAAGCAGUAUCAGGCCUGUUGCAUUUUGUUAUAAUACUUGAGUGCUUUUGUUGGCACUAAGUUUACUAUCCCAGGGUCUAAAUGGACAUUGAUUCAUCUUUAGGGACUGAAUGACCAUAAGUAUUGAUGGAUAUGCUUGUCCAAUAUUAUUUGAAUAUUUUUAUACAUAUCAAUUGAAUAUUGAUAAACUGAUAUAUAUGCAUAAGUUGUAAACUUAAGCAUAGUUUGGUUUUACCCAAAUUUCCAUCUCAAAUUCCAUCAUAAAAUGAUUGCUUGUUUGUUUGUGUGUUGAGAUGAUGGAAAAUCCAAUUUGGGAUUUAUUUGUGAACACACAUAUGCAAUCAUUGUGAUUGGAGUAAUCCUUCUAAGGAAGAUACUCUCUUAGUCAGUUGUACCACAACCAACUUGACUAUUUCAAGCCAUGUAGUGACUUGAGUUAUACACAAUAUAUGUUGCGGUUUAUAUUUAGAUUUAGAAUGUGAAGUCUGCUGAUGACUUGUAUAUCCAAAUCUAUCAAAAUUAUUAUACCUGCCAAUGAUUAAAUAUAGGAACAAAAUUUUCACAUAUACCAUGAGGGUAUGUGUAACACCUACUAUUUUAGUCAUCAAAAGUAAAUCUAAAGAAAUAGAAGCAAUUCAUGAAGAAAAGGAGAAGAAAUCGGCUAAAAAUCAAAUUCCGGUCAAAUUUGACCGAAAUUUGAAUUUUGAAUUCGAAAUUUAAAAUUAAUUUAGCAAAAAUAUGGAAUGGAAGUAUAAGAGUGAUUAGAAUUUUAAGAUCAAGAUUUGGGACAAGAUCUGGUCCUAAAUACCUCAAGAAAAUCGAAGAAAGAAAUUAAAAACCCAAGUUACUAUUCACCAUCCGACAAUAAGAAGUUCAGAAAAACAGCAGCAGAGUCCAUUUUGGAAAUUAAUUUCCGACCAAUUUUACAAAUAAGUGGACCAAGACAACUACACAGUGAUGAAGUAUGGACUUUGGACAAAUAGAUUUGGGUGUUGUUGAUCAGGAACAGUAAGGGGGACAAAUUCAAAUUUAAGCUCAAAGUCAGCACAUUGUCACGGUAGACUGCAUUGCUGAAUUUGCCUAAGUCUGAAACAGCAAUAAGUAGCUGAGUUUGGAGCCGAUUUCAGACGAAUGUAGAGUAAAAGAUGUAAGUGUUUUUGGGAAAAAUGGAAUCCUUGAAGGUUGUAGAACACAAAUGGGAAGAAGUUGGACUGAAAGAAAAGGAUUUGGAUCACUGAAAUCAUUUACAAAGUAGGGUAAAUGACCCUGUCGAGUGACUGACGAACUGAACUUCGAGUUCAGAGAAAUUCAGACAAAUGAGAGAAAGAGUUCAAAAUUCUACUGUGCUAGGAUGAUUAUCUCAGGUCGGAGCAAAAAUAAAACUUAGAGAGUUCAAGUUUAUCUAUAACUUUGCUUAAAGGACCGGGGAGUCGUCGGAUUCAAAAUCGACCGUGAUUUGGAUCUGAAUCUCAGGCAUCAGAAAAACAAGAAAAGUGGGGGGGCGACAGAGCAAGCAGGACGUGUCGCCGCCGGUGCUUCUGCCGCUGUCCAGCUCAGGUAGCUAGGCCACCUCCUCACCACGCAAGCCUACGAGUAGACCACGGUGUCAACCAUGCGCACGGUGAAAGCUUCGAAUAACUACCGCUCCCGCCGUCGUGCUUACUGCCCGCUCUUUUUACCGCCGCCGCCCUUUCUGUCCAAGCCGCUGCCGCCGGGUGAAAUUCCUCCUAUACACCGCAGCUCCUGUCGAUUCCCUCCGUCCACACCUCCCCACACACCCCACCGACAACCCUAGCAGCUUGUUGUCCAGCCUCUCCGCCGGCAUGCCAUAAACCACCGACGUUUCUAUCCGUCGCCGCCGCGCCUCCUGCUCACGGUGAGCACCUCCUUGCUCUUGUUCUCUUUCUUUAUGGGUAGUCGUAGGCGGGUCCUUGGGGUGCUAGAAAGCCGUACAGGGAGUUGUCGGGGUAGACCAAGCCGUUGUCGUGCUUAGCCAUGACCGGCCGUAGGCGCCGCCGCCCGCCGCCGUGGAGGGAAUGGCUCCGGCCAUUUCCCGGGGAGCUAUCGCCGCGCACGGGUGCGUUAGAGCAUGGGGAUGCUUCCCCGGCCUAGCCCCGUCGCUAGUGGGGCGCCGGCCGACGAGUCGCACCGCCCCCUGUCGCGCCUGGUUUUGGCGGGAGGAAGAAGAAAGCGCUGGAGCUGCGGGCCCGCGCGUCAGAGGAAGCAGGGGGAGAGAAGGGGGCCGGCCGAGCGGGAAAGUUGGUUGGGCCGGGGUCUAGUUGGCCCAAAGAGCCGGUACGAGCGGCCGAUGGAAGAAAAGGCCGGAGGCCCAGGAGAGAAGCAGGCCGGUCUCGCGGGAGAAGAGAAGAAGGAGAGAUGGGCCGUUGGGCUGGUGCUGGUCCGAGUUAAGGAAAAGAAAAAGAAAAUCGGCCCAGUAGGGCCCGGCCGAGGAGAAGUGGCCGGCGGGUAAGGUGAACAGGAGGAAGGGGUGGAUCCGAGCCGCGGGCCCAGCGUAAGAGAGAGGGGGUAGAGUAGGGUCGCCUGAGAAAAGUAGCCGGGGGUGUUUUUUUGGGGAAAAGUUAGAUUUCCUUUAUAGAAUAAAUAGUUUAAAUCCGAAUCUCACCAUUUAAAUCACAUGAAUUUCUAGGAGUGUCCAAAAUUAGUGAAACCAAUUUUGUUAGGCUCAUUUUAUUUUCCUUUAUGCAUUAAAAUUUUUAUACCCUAGAAAAAUAAUAAAAAUUUGGGUAUUUAUUUAAUGCCUUUCUUUUAAGGUAUUUAAAUAAAUACUUAAUCUUUAUUAAAUGCAUAAAAUAUGGAAUAAUAUUUUCAUAAUCACAAAUUAUUAUUAACUCAUAGGAAAUUAGAUUUUAAGGCUAGAAAAUAAUUAUAACAUUUUCUAAAAAUAAAAGAAAAAGCCCUAAGUAAGGUUAGUUAAGGAAAUAAAAUUGUGGGCUAAUCUUUUCGGGUUUGUGUGUGUCGGCUUGCAACUUUAUCAUGAUAAAUUGUACAGUCCUUGUUGGCUUGCAACUUUAUCAUGAAGGAAAGUUGUAUAGUCUUGUAUUCAAAAAGUUGCAUUCCUAACCCCUGCAUAUGCUUUGUCUUAGACACCGAAGCGCCAGAAGGGGGUUUCUCGGAAUAUUCAGAAGGAUCUCCGGAGUUUGAAGAGAUCUUUGAAUUGGUUCCCUGCGAGGCCAACCCUUCAGACAGUGCUAACUUUUUUAGCGAACAAGGCAAGCCCCGGUGCAUUAUACCUAUUAUUUUGGAGUCAAUAUUUCAUGUGUCCAAUUAUCGGUUAUCUGCUAUAUGUAUGCACUAAGUCUAGGAGUUGCUUGAAACCCAUUCUUGUGCAUUAUCAUACCUUGUUUUAAGGACAUCUUUGCCACUUGUUCAAACCUUUAGAAAAUAACCCAAGUCUAGAAUUGCUUAGUUGCUCAAACACUUGCUUUACCAAACCUUAAGGUAAAUAUUGAGUCAUGCAUAUUAAUUAUGGAAAGAUAACUUGGAAAUCAAGAAGCGGACAGAAGCUAGGGAUGUAGUUCUAUCUGCUAGAUUAAUCUGGUUAAGGCCCGAUUCGUUGUCUUAACCUUUGAUCAAGUGAAAGACAUCUGAUCACUUACUGGGUAUGGGACCAGCAAAGCCCAGUAGGUUAGUAAACCCUCUGAUUGGGAAUACUUCGUACCUGCGCUUGACGUGCUGGAGAUUGGCAGGGGCGUAGCCUGAAACUCACAUGGUGAUCGGGCCAGACGUGGGGUCCCAUGUGGGGGUGCGUCCCUAGGUCCGGGUAGUCUUAUUCCCAAUCAUUGGAUUUGCUAAUCGAAAAGUCGUUACGUACGACCUGGACAGUCGUAUAUAGCUGGUGAUCAGGGUACUCUCCUGCAGGAUGUAUUUUGAUCCGGAUCGCCGCAAUUCUCGGUUAUGAAUGCACUUGAUCACUGUUGAGCAUCGUAGCAUAAAUUCAUGAUUGCUAUAUCUUUCCAUUAAGCUUUGGUGUAUGACUUAAUACUUUGUUAUUUGCAAGUAGUCUUUUAUUAUCACCUAGAAUGGUUAGGUAAUGACUUAAUCCAAAUAAUAGAUAAAGCUAAGGUCUCACUUUAGUAAGCUUUUUGGAGAAAAUGUGUCAGCCAAGUACACUGAAAAAGCUAUCAUGUAAUUCCAAGAAAAACUAUUAUAUUGGUUAGUCGGGUAAGCCUUGCUGAGUACCUCGUACUCAGGGUUAUCCCUUGUGGCUAUUUUCAGAGGCACCGCAGGAAUCCACCGAGGAGGAAGCCCCAAAAAAUUAGGGUAUUGUUAUGAGUCUCACAAUACCCUUAGAGGCAAAUCUUAAAUGCUCUCUCCACCUGAACCGUUUAUGUUUAAAAUCCUAGAACUUCUGUCUAACCUACACUGUUAAGUUUUGUUUCAAACUAUGUCUUGUAAUAACUCGUAACUUGUGUAUGUAUGUAAAAAUGUAAUAUUUGUUAAUGCUAUCCCAUCGCGGAUACAAUCCUGAUGUAUGGCUAUGGGACACGACGUGGAUCUUCGAGGAGUCCUAGGGACACUCGACGGACGAUCGGACUUAUACUGUUUUAAGUGUGUUUCGGAUAAUUGCUGCAUCGGCAACGAUUAGGCGCAUUUAAACCAGUUUAAGUUGGACGGUUCCGCCACAGUAUGUUGCUCGGUCUCUGCGUGAAACCAUUGCUACAAUCUCUCAUUAUAUCACCACCUUACUUUCAUAAAGAAUGCAUUUGUGAGAACAUGUAUUACUGUGGUAAAUACCUCUCACCAGUGAACGAGAGAAAUUCUCCAUAAUUGCCACCUUUGCUUUGACCCAAUUUGAGUUUUGAUAUACUCUGCCUAGGAAUUUUUGUCUGGAUCCAGUUUAAGGUGUAUAACAAUUUUGAGGAGCAUAUGUCGAUAAUUUGUAGUCUUUGUAUAAUUGAUUCAAUGGAAUCAAUAUAGCAUGUGAAAUAUUAAUCCUUUAAAACUCUUAUCUCAUUUCCCACGAUGAUAGAGUUAGGGUGUUCCAAUGACCCAGUGCCUAAAUUUAUGUGCAUAUGUACUGGAUUUUUGAAUGCUGAACAUUCAUAGGCUUUGGAUUUGAAUAUCCGUAAAGUGUUUAACAACAUGCAUGAUGUUGAUUUGCAUUUACUAUCUUGGAGGAUGUCUCCCCCUAUUUCCGCGAAUGCUUGUAAUAACCUAUAUCUCUAGUGACCAUACUUCUCUCCCUCUUAUUUUAAUUUGGGAGUUGAGCGAUCUUGUUAGAUCAUCACUUUUCUGGCACACUAAUUGUAGGGAUUUAAUAUGAUGAAACUUUUGGUAAGCAAAUGCAUUUGGCAGACUAUUUAUAAUGUGUUACAAAUAUAAGAUGUUCUAAACUGUUGAUUCAGAUAUUCUUUGGUAUGUACGUGGAUGUGAGGAUUGAAUAUGUGUAACAUUCAUUUUAGAUUCCUAACAUUCUAUGUGUGCUAUUAAUCUUCCCCUAAUGCCUGGAAUUAUCCUCAAAGUGUUAUCAACAUAUGGGCUUGUGUGUAAAUCCCUAUAUGAGACCUAAGGUAUUAUAUGAAUGACGGAUAAUAAUACCUUUUGUGGGUCCCUAAUGCCCAUGAUGUAUGUUGCGGUGGUGAUAUUGGUGUGUAAAAUAUUACCAACAGGCAGAUGGGAAAUAUUUAGCUGUGGCCAAGUUUUCAUGUUCUAAAUACAACGGAGGGAGCCGUAUGAUUGCAAUUUUAUGAAUUUAGGUUAUGCAGUGUGUAAGUCCACAUAUUACCAACUUGAUGUUGAUAAAUUGAAGUCUAUUUGAUGAUCAUGCAAAUAAGUUAUCUCGAUAAGAGAUUCAGUUAAGCCAUAAUUGAUAUGAACAUAUGGUACUUAAUGAUAUAGUUCCCAAAACCAAAUAAUUCCAUAUGAAUGGAUGUGAUCUUGUGUUUAGGAAAAUUUUUGCUCCAAAUUGAAAAUUUGAGCGAUGAAUUUGGUAAGAAUUGUGGUGCCUUAUGAUCAGUAAGGGACACAUGUGGGACUAUUUGCAAAUGCAUGCAUGAGUACUUUAGAGUGCCCAUAUAGUCCAUAAAUAGCUUAAUAUGGCCAACAUAUCUUGAAUGCAUUCAAGAAAUUUGGUGGCUCAUUAUUUGGAAUUCUAAGGUAAGAGGAUCUUAAAAUUAAUUCUCUUGUGGCACAUGCGGUGCACAAAAUCUGAGGAUUUUGAGAAUGUAUGCUAUGACCAAUAUAAUUGAUAAUAUUUUUCUUAUCAUUCAUGAGUUAGAAUGAUCAAGGCUAUCAUGCCAAUUCAUGAUAUGACCAAGAUUGAAAAUUUAUUUUAUAUGCAACAUGUCAUACGGGAUUGAUGUAUGCACAUAUAACAUAUCCCAAAUGAUAUGAAAGGAAUUAUAUGAAUAUUGAAUUUUCAUGUCCAUCAUACCAAGUUGAGUGCUGAUAUUUCAACAUUACUCUUAAUAAUAGGUUUCGAUAUGAAACCAUACAAAUGGAUGUCAUGAAAUUGGGGUAUUUGUAGAAUACAUGAGUGCAUCUACAAUGAAUAAUUAGAUACCUAUGAGGAGAGUAUAUAUUUCUCACAAUUGUGAUAGUGGUGAUCCACUUAAUGAAAUUCCUUUUCUUUCUUGUUUGAUCCUGAAUGAAUACCAUGUACGAGGUACAUGAUAUUAAUGAUGGACAAUAUAGUACAUGUAGUAAUAUAGUGUUGAACUAAUGAUAAUUCCAUAAAUUAUAUGGAAAUAUAUGGAGAUCUAAUUUAUUAAAGUGUGCUUCCAAUUGAUCUCCUUGAACUCACUUUCCUCUAAUGGAGUGGAGAUAUUGUUUGAACCAAAUAUUUCAUUUGGAAAUCAUGUGUACAUGAAUGUACAACCACACUUGAGACAAAUGUGAGAUUUGUCAUUAUGGUCACUUUUAUGGAAAGUGACAUUUUAUGUUUGAGAUCCAUUGUGUUGUAAAUUCCAUGAACUGAAAGUUCUAUUAUUUGUUGAUAACUCUACUAGGAGUUCAAAGAAUAAAUGGAUCUUGCUCCUUUGGAUACUCAGACUUGUAAAAAUUUGAAUGGAGGAAAUGUAGUAACACACAAAGGUGCAUGUAUGGUAAUGUAAAUAAUGGAUUGGGUACUUUGAUUAGGGUAGAACUAUGGUGCCAUUGGUGCCAUGGAUCUCCCAAUGAUAUCGUUGAUAUCAAGUGCCCAUGCUGGAUAGUAAAUCCUAUCCAAUUCGAAUUUAGAAAAUUCCAUUUUUGGAAACAUCAGUCAUGUCCUACAUGAGUAAGUCAUGUUGUUUAAUGAAUUUACUCGAGGAGUAAAUUAUAUAGCAUGAAUAUAUUAAGAUGCAAAAUUUAUUUAAAUCAAGUUGAUACUUGAUUAUAAGUGGACUAUUCUAUAAUUGACAAGCGACAGAAGUCGUUGCACAUGUUUUGCACUCCAUUCUUGUGAGAAUAGAUGAUCUGAUGAUCAUUGCCAAAACAUAGUCUAUGUAUAUAUGACAUAAGAUAGUCACUUAAAUAUGUUGCACUUUUCUUCUAUUUAUUUAAGCAAAAGUUGAUGCUUAAUUUUGAAUUCAAGAUAAGUCUUGAAUUAUUCUAUGCAAAAUCUUGUACAUUCAAAAUGUGGCUUGAAUUACAAGUAAUGUUGACAUAAUAUUUGAUAGGCGAUGAAAUCGUUGUUAUUAUCGAGUGCGACUCGAUUAUCAUGUACUAGUAAGUUAACACACGAAAAGGUAAUCACCAUAAUGGUGUAAACUUUGAAGUAGUGGAUGAGGAACUCAUUGCUAUAGGCAUAGUUUGCAUGAUUGCAAUAAAUGCUUUAGAGUCCACUCAUAUGUGUUACACUAGUAAUAUUAGGUCAUCACAUGAAGAGUAAUCCCCAUGUUGGUGUUAUGAUUAUGCAAAAAUAGUGAAGGCAAGAUGAUUCUUGCAACAAAAUAAGGUAUAUAUCAAUGGGUAGUGCAAUUGUUGUAAAUAUAUUAUUUAUAUUCCUGUGGGAAUAAAUGACUUGAUAGUCAUAAUUAAUACAGAUUUUUUUUCAAUUUUUAUGAAAUUUUUGAUAUACACAUUGAAGGUAAUCAUCAUAAAGAUGUAGACCUUUUAGUGAUGAGCAAAAAGCUGCCUAAAAGUACGGUCUUUGGGCAAAUAAAUUCUUUGACAAGAACUUAUCGUAGCCAGUGCCUAGGUCGCAUCACCUUGUGUGAUUCCAAAAUUAUAUUGAUAUACAUUAAUUUAAAUUUUACAUCACCUUCUACAUGAUGUAGAAUAUUGAUUAAGUAUUAAUUAUGCAAACAAAAUAGAUUGCAUAUGUAAAGAUUGUUCAACACCGAUGAAAAGAUAUGCGGAUCAUGAUGAUGCUCAAUUACUGUGGUAAGUUUGGCAUCCUUAUUACAUUGGUGCUAAUACUGGAUGGUAUACAUAGAUAAUUCACAAGGGAACUCGUAAAUCAGAACAAUCAAGUGUCUCAAUAGUAAUAUUCAGAACAAUAGACAUGCUAGACCAUGUAAAUAAGUAGAAACCAGGAGAGCUCUUUAUUGAAAUUGGGGGCAACUUGGGCUGCACUGAAAUGGGGUGUAACCCCUCCUCAUCCUGUUGUGCAGUACGGACCAUACGAUGUAUGAGGAAUGUGGGACUCCAGUGGUGGAACGAGGGAGCUUUGUCCAUGGCGAGCAUUCCAAUGCCCACGGUGACAGUAGCCACCAAAACGGCAGUGACCGCGACGAGCACGAUCUGACGUUGCCGUAGAGACGCACGGAGGCGCUUGUGGAUGUGAGCCGUAGCUGUUGUCGCGGUGGCCAUUGCAAGAUGUGUUGUUCUGUCUGGGAGCAGCAAGCGGAACACGCGGCUGCUUGCCAGCACCAGCGGACUACACAGAUUUGUGUCUACGGAGAGCGUGCAGAGGCACUGGCACAUGAUGACAGGAGGAGUCCUGCGUGGUGGCCAGCAUGCACCAGUAGCUUAGGAGGAUUUGCACCUGCCUUUUUCUUGAGCAACGUAUGAACGUGUUUGUUCAUCUUUUAUCAUUGCUCAUAGAUGCAGUGAAACCUCUUGCCCGUCUAUGUGAAAUUGAAGGCUUGCAUGUCUGUUGAGUAGCGUGUGCCUCUGUACUUACAAUGAUAGUCACGCAGAGGACGACGAUGGAGGGAAAGCACCCUAGUUGAAGUCAAUCCCAUAUUGCAGAGGCAAGCAAGUUUGUGUUGUUGGCCAAACUCAAUGGAAGGAUAGAGCAAACGUGGCUGAUAACGUGUUAAAGAAUGAAAAGUGGAAUGGAUUGAAUGGAAAGGUUGUAUUGAUAGAGGGAGUCUGUACGUAUUUAUACUCUACCAACAGACAGGAAGUGGCCCCUUCAAGAUGACUGUUCAUGCCUUGGGCUCGCAGUUCCCCUCUUGGUAGUUAUCCACU